rnacentral:tRNA from 1 species
AAGAAAAAGCAUAUCAAGGCUGCUAACUUUGAUAAGAGUACAUAAUAGUAUUCAUUUCUUA